rnacentral:rRNA from 1 species
GAUGAACGCUGGCGGCGUGCCUAAUACAUGCAAGUCGAGCGAACGGACGAGAAGCUUGCUUCUCUGAUGUUAGCGGCGGACGGGUGAGUAACACGUGGAUAACCUACCUAUAAGACUGGGAUAACUUCGGGAAACCGGAGCUAAUACCGGAUGAUAUUUUGAACCGCAUGGUUCAAAAGUGAAAGACGGUCUUGCUGUCACUUAUAGAUGGAUCCGCGCUGCAUUAGCUAGUUGGUAAGGUAACGGCUUACCAAGGCAACGAUGCAUAGCCGACCUGAGAGGGUGAUCGGCCACACUGGGACUGAGACACGGUCCAGACUCCUACGGGAGGCAGCAGUAGGGAAUCUUCCGCAAUGGGCGAAAGCCUGACGGAGCAACGCCGCGUGAGUGAUGAAGGUCUUCGGAUCGUAAAACUCUGUUAUUAGGGAAGAACAUAUGUGUAAGUAACUGUGCACAUCUUGACGGUACCUAAUCAGAAAGCCACGGCUAACUACGU